rnacentral:lncRNA from 1 species
GCACCCCCACACUUAAAUCAUGCAUUGUCCUCAAUGUAUAAGAAAUAUAAAAGAACAAAGGAAACUGAGUACUCCCCUGGGUGUGGUGUGCAUGGUGUGAUCCACUUGAUCAAGGCUCAAGUAAUUGGAGAAGGGAAAAGAGUCCCAACUGUAUUGAGCAAAAAGUGUAGCACUCCUUUUGAUUUGGUCAUAGCCCAUCCUAUUUUCUCCAUGUACUCAUGAAGUAACAUGAUUAGCUUUUCCUCUUUCAGAUGAGGUGUG